rnacentral:rRNA from 1 species
UACGGGGGGGGCAAGCGUUGUUCGGAAUUACUGGGCGUAAAGGGCUCGUAGGUGGCCAACUAAGUCACACGUGAAAUCCCUCGGCUUAACCGGGGAACUGCGUGUGAUACUGGAUGGCUUGAGUUUGGGAGAGGGAUGCGGAAUUCCAGGUGUAGCGGUGAAAUGCGUAGAUAUCUGGAGGAACACCGGUGGCGAAGGCGGCGAUCCUGGACCAAUACGUGACGCUGAGGGAGCGAAAGCCAGGGGAGCAA